GACACGACUCUCGGCAGCGGAUAUCUCGGCUCUCGCAUCGAUGAAGAACGUAGCGAAAUGCGAUACCUGGUGUGAAUUGCAGAAUCCCGCGAACCAUCGAGUCUUCGAACGCAAGUUGCGCCCGAGGCCACCCGGUCGAGGGCACGCCUGCCUGGGCGUCACGC
rnacentral:rRNA from 1 species